GCCUGGCUAGCUCAGUCAGUAGAGCAUGUGACUCUUGAUCUCAGGGUUAUGAGUUAAAGACCCACGCUGGGUG
rnacentral:tRNA from 1 species